ACCCUUCCGGGGAGCUUGCACAGGUGCUGCAUGGCUGUCGUCAGCUCGUGUCGUGAGAUGUUCGGUUAAGUCCGCUAACGAGCGCAACCCUCGCUGUGUGUUAUAUGUGUCACACGGGACUGCCGGUCUUAAGCCGGAGGAAGGUGGGGAUGAUGUCAAGUCAGCAUGGCCUUUAUAUCCUGGGCUACACACACGCUACAAUGGCCAACACAAUAGGUUGCUAAGCCGCGAGGUGGCGCCAAUCCAUAAAGUUGGUCUCAGUUCAGAUUGUAGGCUGCAACCCGCCUGCAUGAAGAUGGAGUUGCUAGUAACCGCAGGUCAGCUAUACUGCGGUGAAUACGUUCCCGGGGCUU
rnacentral:rRNA from 1 species